GAUGAACGCUAGCGAUAGGCUUAACACAUGCAAGUCGAGGGGCAGCAUGGUCUUAGCUUGCUAAGGCUGAUGGCGACCGGUGCACGGGUGCGUAACGAGUAUGCAACUUGCCUCACAGAGGGGGAUAACCCGUCGAAAGACGGACUAAUACCGCGUACAAUCUAUGUUGGGCAUCCAAUGUAGAGGAAAUGAAAUUCGCUGUGAGAUAGGCAUGCGUCCCAUUAGCUAGUUGGUGAGGUAACGGCUCACCAAGGCGACGAUGGGUAGGGGAACUGAGAGGUUGAACCCCCACGCUGGUACUGACACACGAACCAGACUCCUACGGGAGGCAGCAGUUAGGAAUAGUGGUCAAUGAGAGAGAGCCUGAACCAGCCAAGUCGCGUGAAGGAUGACUGUCUUAUGGAUUGUAAACUUCUUUUGUGCGGGAAUAACAAGAGUCACGUGUGGCUCCCUGCAUGUACCGUAUGAAUAAGCAUCGGCUAACUCCGUG
rnacentral:rRNA from 1 species